rnacentral:lncRNA from 1 species
CCUUUCCGGUCCGGCCGCAGUACGGCACCUGAACUCGAAGCUACGAUCAGAUCCGAUUGGAUCUGGUCCUAUCCGACCCAACCCCGGAACUUAGAACGGCCGGCCUGUUUGGACGGUAGAACGGGGAGAGGGGGAGUCGUGCCCAUUCUCUAUCCGGGCACGAGCAGGAACAUAAAAAAAAAUGGAAAACCGAAUACAUGUACAUGAUGUAACGACAUAUUCAAAAAUACGUGAUCCGAUUUGAUAGGCUGCCCGCAGAAAGGAAAGAGUUUACCGACCGCAUAACAAUUCAUUCUUGUGUGUAGCGCGUGGGCCCAUGUCUCCCGAACGAUCAUAGUACGGCCGCUCAUCUAAUAUAAAAUCAAUGAGUAGAUCUCACCUCCCCUUCCCCAUACCAUAGCC